rnacentral:lncRNA from 1 species
CUUCUAAUCAUGCUGUCAUAAGAAACUUUGUGGAUGAAAAGAUAAACAAAAAACCAGAGAAAGGAGUGAUCCAAUACAUCCAGAGCUGGAAGAUUACUCAGUGCAACUUUCUAGUCUUGGGAGGGAAGGUGUGGAAGGUGCAAAUGCCAAGGUUGGAAGAUCCCUGGGUUACAAGAUUGCCUUCGAAAGAGCAUUCUGGGAGCCUUCUUCAGAACAGCUUCAAAGGCCAUGUGUAAUAAUGA